ACUUAUUUAGUAUAUUAGUAUUUUUGACUUCCAAUCAAAAGGUCUGGGUUACUCAGAAUAAGUA
rnacentral:tRNA from 1 species